rnacentral:tRNA from 1 species
GUGAAUGUGGCUCAGUGGUAGAGCGCUUGCCUAGCAUGCAUGAAGCCCUGCGUUCGACUCCACAGUACCACA